UGAUCUUGACUCGAUUCUUCUUGUGCCUCGCCAAGAUCUUCAUGGGGUUUCCCUCUGUCACACCUGAUUUUUAUCAGUUUGGAUGGAAUCCAGAGGUUUUUCUUUUCUGCUGAAAUCUCCUCCCUAACCUUACCUCCUUUCUUCUCUUUUAGAACUUGGACUCCCAGGCUGAUCUAAUUCAGCAGUGCUUUCUAGAAUCCAGUGUAUCUUAGUAGUUGUGCUGUUUGUCAACAAAGCACAUUUUAAACCAUCUUUUGGAGACACCACAUCUCCUUUCUAUCUAUUCUAUGAGCAUUUCCAUCCAAGUCCUGUUACAACUUUUAUACCUGUGGAGCCUAUAAGGUACAUCUGUAAUGGGUUUUAUGUCAUGAUGCCUAAAAUACCAUUGUAUUCUAAUAGAUGUGUAUGCCUGAGAUUCAUCAGCUUUAAUUUGCAAAGUCGUUUUAAGACAGUCAUCAUCUCUAACAAAUGUGCAAUCUCAGAAUCGUUCCCCUCGGAACUCAAGGCAGAAGCCCCAUUGGAACUACAACCAUGCAUCAACUGUACAAUGGAUGGGAAAGUGUACGUAUUUCAAUUAUCUAAACUCUAUAACGUGGAACACACAGUCCACUGUGUGGCAUUGCUUUAAGUUGGCAUCAGCAAGCAGAAUCUGGGAUCUUCAUUUAAUAUAUUGCAUCUCUAUGGGCUGCCAUCCCAGUUUCUCAAGCCCUGUGGAGCCUUCCCAUCUGGAACUGUUUUUUGAUGUUAUUAUAAGUUCCAGAUUGGAUUACUCAGUGUUUCCUAUUUUGAUUUAAAGGUCCCUUCAACCUCUGUUUCAUGGUCUCUAAUCUAUUACCUAAUUUCUCAGUCUCUUCUUUCUCCAAGUCUGUCUUAUUCUGAUCUCUCCUAAAGAGGACUGUAAUCAUUGAAAAAGCAGCCAUUUGCAUGCUGAUAAUCGAAGCAAGAUCACGUGGAAUCCAGAUAACAUUGUGCCACCAUGCUUCCUUCCAUCCCAAAUAUAGAAAACAUUUUUCUAUUUUAAUAUCAAGACUUCUCCCUAAGGACUUUAUUUUCUUACAUUUAAAUUAAAUAUUUCUUUUCGUGAAUUUUUAAUAUCUCUCUUUCCUUCCCUUUUAUUGUUCUUUAAAUUUAAUACCUCACCAGUUUAGAUUCUUGGGACUUUUUAUUUUGUAUCUUGUGCUGUUGCUAGCCCAGCCCUGGCCAUUCAGAUAGCUCAGGGCUCUUGGUUCCCCCUUAUGCUGGCCCUGGCCAGGCCUUACCUGUAGAGCUUCUGCUGGCUUCAGACCUAGCUCCAGCACGUUUUUAACUGUGCAGCUCUUGGUUGACGUUGCAGCCAUUGUGCCCCUGGGCUUUGGUUUGCUUUUGUUCUUUUUUACAUAUACCAGGCAGGCCUCUUGUCUGGCUAGCCUCCGUCCCCUGCCUUUCACCUAAGCCUUUUCAGGCUGUGUGCUUGGGUUCUACUUGCAGUAAGUCUAAUGACAAUUAUAGAAGUUAGGUCUGAUACUUCCUCCCAGCUCCAUGCUCCCAGAAAUAAGACUCAGAAUAUAUUUACACAUACCUUGGCCGUAUAGCUAGGCUCUUAACUGACUGGAUCACGACUUAGUAUAACCCAUUUAUUCUGAUCUACUUUCUACCAUGUGGCUGGUUACCUUCUGCCCAGGUACCAUGCUUCCAACUCCUGAGCAAAUCAACCAUGCCUGGUUCUAUCCCAGAAUCCUUCCUGCCUCCUGGAUGUCUCUCCUCCAAUUUCCUGCCCUUAGGCCAUCAGAUUUAUCGUUGACAGGUGCCUCAUCCAUACAGACAAGGUAUUCUCACUACAGAUGCCUUCUUUGGUUUUUAUUUUUAUAUUGAGAAACAGAAAGGAUGUUGAUCCAGAUGGGGUAGGGGGAGAAACUAGGAGGAGUAUGAGGAGAGGAAGCCAGAACCAGAACAGAAUAUAUUGUAUGAAUAAAAUUUUUUUUUUCUGCGACAGGGUUUCUCUGUAUAGCCCUGGCUGUUCUGGAACUCACUCUAUGGACCAGGCUGGCCUCGAACUCAGAGGUUCACCUGUCUCUACCUCCCAAGUCCUGGGAUCAAAAAGGUCUGUCCCAUCAUGCCCAGCAACAAAUUCUAUUUUUAAUAAU
rnacentral:lncRNA from 1 species